GAUGAACGCUGGCGGCGUGCCUAAUACAUGCAAGUCGAGCGAACGGACGAGAGGCUUGCUUCUCUGAUGUUAGCGGCGGACGGGUGAGUAACACGUGGAUAACCUACCUAUAAGACUGGGAUAACUUCGGGAAACCGGAGCUAAUACCGGAUAAUAUUUUGAACCGCAUGGUUCAAAAGUGAAAGACGGUCUUGCUGUCACUUAUAGAUGGAUCCGCGCUGCAUUAGCUAGUUGGUAAGGUAACGGCUUACCAAGGCAACGAUGCAUAGCCGACCUGAGAGGGUGAUCGGCGACACUGGAAAUGAGACAAGGUCCAGAUUCCGACGGGGGGCAGCAGUGGGGAAUCUUCCGCAAUAGGCGAAAGCCUGACGGAGCAACGCCGCGUGAGUGAUGAAGGUCUUCGGAUCGUAAAACUCUGUUAUUAGGGAAGAACAUAUGUGUAAGUAGCUGUGCACAUCGUGACGGUACCUAAUCAGAAAGCCACGGCUAACUACGUG
rnacentral:rRNA from 1 species